rnacentral:rRNA from 1 species
GACAAAUGGCUCUCAGCCAUACGAAAUAGAGCAAUAACAGGUCUGUGAUGCCCUUAGAUGUCCGGGGCCGCACGCGCGCUACACUGGAGUAAGCAGCGGGUAAACUAUCCUCGGCCGACAGGUCCGGGUAAUCCGCUGAAACUUCUCCGUGAUGGGGACAGGGACUUGUAAUUAUGUCCCUCGAACGAGGAAUUCCAAGUAAACGCGAGUCAUCAGCUCGCAUUGAUU